CCUACGGGUGGCAGCAGUGGGGAAUAUUGCACAAUGGGGGAAACCCUGAUGCAGCGACGCCGCGUGCGUGAAGAAGUAUUUCGGUAUGUAAAGCUCUAUCAGCAGGGAAGAACAUGACGGUUCCUGAUUAAGAAGCCCCGGCUAACUACGUGCCAGCAGCCGCGGUAAUACGUAGGGUGCAAACGGUUACCGGUUGUACUGGGUGGAAAGGUAGCGUAGACGGCAGCACAAGUCUGGAGUGAAAUGCCCGGGCUUAACCCCGGGACUGCUUUGGAAACUGUGCAGCUAGAGUGCAGGAGAGGUAAGUGGAAUUCCUAGUGAAGCGGUGAAAUGCGUAGAUAUUAGGAGGAACACCAGUGGCGAAGGCAGCUUACUGGACUGUAACUGACGUUGAGGCUCGAAAGCGUGGGGAGCAAACAGGAUUAGAUACCCUUGUAGUC
rnacentral:rRNA from 1 species